rnacentral:rRNA from 1 species
UCUAAGACUGGGAUAACCCGUCGAAAGAUGUGCUAAUAGCCAAAUAAGACCACAGUUCCUGCGGGACAGAGGUCAAAGGUAGCCUCUAUUAUAAGCUAUCACUUAGAGAUGGGCCUGCGCACCAUUAGCUAGUUGGUAGGGUAACGGCCUACCAAGGCAAAGAUGGUUAGCUGGUCUGAGAGGAUGAUCAGCCACACUGGAACUGAGACACGGUCCAGACUCCUACGGGAGGCAGCAGUGGGGAAUAUUGCGCAAUGGGCGAAAGCCUGACGCAGCAACGCCGCGUGAGUGAUGAAGGCCUUCGGGUCGUAAAGCUCUGUCGGAGGGAACGAAUGCUCCUGAGGUUAAUAGCCUCGGGGGUGACGGUACCCUCAAAGGAAGCACCGGCUAACUCUGUGCCAGCAGCCGCGGUAA